CCAAAGUUUUCAUUUUGGAAAAAUUGCAAUGGAACUGAAUUUCUAAACGUGUUAGACCUCAAGCAAUUGCUAGAGAUAAAUCUACAGGGACUUUUCGGCCGCGUGAAUAUAAAUCAAGUUCCGGAAACUAUUCAGUUCCUUUGGAAGCAUCUUUUAACGCGAGCUUUUGGAGCACGCGCGUGUCAUACGAACGGGUGAGGAAUUGAUCGAUCACCGGACAGUUAGAACUGCUGCUGGGAAAACGCAGUAUGUCAUACGCUCCAUGUCAAGAUUCACGUUAGAUCGCACGAAAUUAGCUGGGGCGCAUCCAGUGAUGGUUGCGGCGGCUUCUGUAUAGACUGCGGCAAACUCAAAUUUGGCGUUCUGUGCGGAGCGAAGAGACGCGAUUACGGUGGUUCAACGGGCGGGGAUCACAGCAAGAUUCUUUAACGCUGGCGCUGCUGCAACAUUCGCGCAACAAACACAUUAAUAAUGCAGAGAAUGGGAGCAUCCCCAUGUACACACUAAUGUGGCAUUC